rnacentral:rRNA from 1 species
CCUACGGGAGGCAGCAGUGAGGAAUAUUGGUCAAUGGACGCAAGUCUGAACCAGCCAAGUAGCGUGAAGGAUGACGGCCCUAUGGUUUGUAAACUGCUUUUAUAAGGGCAUAAACUGAGUCACGUGUGGCUUAUUGCAUGUACUGUAUGAGUAAGGAACGGCUAACUCCGUGCCAGCAGCCGCGGUAAUACGGAGGGUCCGGGCGUUAUCCGGAUUUAUUGGGUUUAAAGGGAGCGUAGGUGGGACGUUAAGUCAGUUGUGAAAUUCCGCGGCUCAACCGUGGCACUGCAGUGGAAACUGGCAGUCUUGAGUACAGUUGAGGUAGGCGGAAUUCGUGGUGUAGCGGUGAAAUGCUUAGAUAUCACGAAGAACACCGAUUGCGAAGGCAGCUUAC